UUUUUUCACCAUUUUUACUUUGUUCAGCAUUUCUUGCUAUUUAUUUUCAUCUUGCAUAAGCAAACAUUGGAAUACAGUUCUUUGUCACGUGUGUUUUCAUUGUAUGCAAUAUCAUUAAGAUUAGAACAAUAGGGAAUGACGUAUAUUAUCAUAUGAAAAAAAUGAAUGGGCCCCUGGUAUAUAGUUUAACUAUAUACUUAUGUUCAAAACAGUCUUUGUAUUUAAUGAUUUUGUUUUUUGGAAAUUUUAUAGAUUUGGAUUCAAUCAUGUUAUUGUUUCCCACUUUGAAUAUUUAAGUGACUGGAACAUUAAUGUUAGUCUUAAGUUUGGGUUCACUUGCAAUAAUAACUCUCAACUGAAAGCAUAUGUAAGUUUUAAGCAUUGAAAUUUGAAGUAAUCUUGCAUGGUUUACACUUUACAUUUAUGUUGUAUUCUAUGGUUUUCUGGUUUGGGAGGCUUAUCAAAGUUAACUGGGCAUAUUGCAAUUGUCAGGAAGAUGACACAUUAAAUUCAUAUUCGAAGAAACUUGAAGCCAUUAAAACUGGGAGAUAUCGUUUCCGAAGUAAAAAAUACUAAAAUUUUCAACGUCAAUUAAACUGUAUUAUCUUCAGAUUUUGAAGAAUAUUGUGAUACCAGAGGCUCCCAUGUUUAAACCUGAGCUUCCUCUUUAAGAAAAUGGGGAAGGACCCUUGGAAUUGGAUGUCUAUGACUUUAAACGACCUUGUGUUACCCUUGCCAUGUAUAAUGUUGAUCAGGUUAGUCUUUACACAACUCACCUGCAUAUUGAAUCUUUUCUUAUGCCACUUUUACAGCCUUUUCCCUCAUCAUUUGGAUUUUUGUGAAAAUUUGUUGGCCUAUUCAAGCGUUUGCAAAAUCGUAGAGGCAAUGGCAUUUGUAAACAGUGGUCUCUCCUCUUGAGCAUAAAGAAUACAAUUCUUAAGAAGUAUGAUGGCGGGUUCAACCGUUCAAGGAUAUAUUUAAGGAGUUACAUGAAUAGAAGUGGACGAAGCAACUUGAAGAACACUCACUAUGGUUGAUUUUUAUAUCUUUGAUGUAUAUAAUCUUAAUGUGCCCAUUCACAUUGUUUUCUAGACAUAUAUGCUUCCCCUAGGUAUGAGCAUCGGUUGUUCGAUGACAUGGUGGCAUACAUCGUGAAGAGUGAUGGUGGAUAUGUUUGGGCUUAGUGUCAAAUAUAGAAGGUUGGAGUAACAAUAAUGAAUUCAAAGAGCUCAAGAUCCCACAUUAUAUUUACAUCGACAAUCGAAUCUUGGUGCAAGAUUUUCACAACAGCAAUGUCAACCUCACUAUGUACCACCAAACUUCUCAAGAUGAAAACAGCUUCCGAAAACUGCUCGUAGUUCUAUGACCUGAUACCAAAACCUCGUUCUAAUGGAUUUACAGGGUGAUAGCAAACAAAGAAAAACUCAACAAACUUACAGAAAACAAACCAUCUGUUACUCUCAGCCUCACAAAACUGUUACCUCCAGCUGAAAAUAAAUUCACACCAAUUGCUGAAUUACUGGAAGUCUAUCUAGGGAACAAAUUCUAUUGGAUCAAGGCCCAUUGGAGAGUUAUUGCAACACACCAAAAAUUUUGGUACAUGUCCUGCGGUAAUUGCAAAAAGCAUCCAAUGCAGACUUCGGACAAAUUUACAAAUGUCGAUUUUGCAAGGAUGAACAUGCAAAAGUAGUACCAAGAGCAAAUGCUUUUCUGCACCUCGAAGACAGAUCUGGAGAGUUAGAUGCAAGCAUUAUAGCGAAGCAGCAGAGGAAUUAUUGGAAACUAAUGCUAAGGAAAUAAUGGACCAUUUCCAAAAGAACCCAGAUGGAGAGCUGAACAAUGUUAUGAAAACCAUUAGUGAAAAAGAGUUGCCAUUCUAUAUAAAAGUGAUAAAAAAAGGCAAAAUCCACCCGAAUACCGCUAUGAAAUCAUCUUCGUCUUUAACUCUCUACCCACCAUCACAAAUGUGAAUUCCUCACCUGCAAUCAUUGAAAUAGAUCCUUCAACUUCUGUAAGUGAUGUGAAGAAUUCAACUGAGAUGAACAAGAGUUCAGACAAGAAAAACACGAAAGGGAAAGAUAAAGUAUGCAACACUGACACUGAAGUUCUCAAUUACACCGAAGAAACGAUUGCAAUCUCUGCAAAGAGGCCUCUCUUCCAAGCACUAGAUGAAACUAUUGAAACAGACUUAAAGCUAAAAAAGAAGAGUAACACGGUGAUAUGAUCCAAGAGUCGAGCCCGACGAAAGCAAGUGCGAGAUGAGACCAGUUGAUAGUCGAUGGCGAACCGAUGACGCGAUCGAAGACGAGACGAGUCAACGAGGUGAUGGGAUUGCUCGUCAAGGCAACGAUUGAAGACACCAUGUUCGGAACUCAAAAUGGAGCAACUUUCAUGUUCGGGUCGAAGGUCAAAUCAACUUGAAUCAAUUUAAUAUUGAAGGUCGAAAUCGGAGGGAAAUUUUAAGCCUGUGCGGUCGCAUAGGCAUACACGCUCGCGAUCGCACAAUAUUCUACCGAAGCUCAAAGGAGGCAUUUUGUUUGAACCAUGCGACCGCAAGGAAUUGCAUGUUGCGGUCGCAUAAGCUAAUUUUUGGGCGAAUUUCCUAUUUUUGGUAUUUUUUCAUAUUUUG